ACGAACGCUGGCGGCGUGCUUAACCCAUGCAAGUCGAACGGAAAGGCCUCUUUCGGGGGGUACUCGAGUGGCGAACGGGUGAGUAACACGUGAGUAACCUGCCCUUGACUUUGGGAUAACUUCAGGAAACUGGGGCUAAUACCGGAUAGGAGCUCCUGCUGCAUGGUGGGGGUUGGAAAGUUUCGGCGGUUGGGGAUGGACUCGCGGCUUAUCAGCUUGUUGGUGGGGUAGUGGCUUACCAAGGCUUUGACGGGUAGCCGGCCUGAGAGGGGGACCGGCCACAUUGGGACUGAGAUACGGCCCAGACUCCUACGGGAGGCAGCAGUGGGGAAUAUUGCACAAUGGGUGGAAGCCUGAUGCAGCAACGCCGGGUGCGGGAUGACGGCCUUCGGGUUGUAAACCGCUUUCGCUCAUGACGAAGCUUUGUGUGACGGUAGUGGGUAAAGAAGCACCGGCUAACUACG
rnacentral:rRNA from 1 species